AUAGGGUGAUUGACGGUAGUGUUGUGACAACGCGCAAUCGGUCGGAUAAGACCUUCAAUAGACUCGCAGCGUGAUGUGUUAACAAAAUUGGUAUAGUGUGUGUGUGCGUGUGUGCGCGGUCGUUCGGAUUGUAAUGUAAUAUACUUUGUACGUACACCAAUAUUGUGUCGAUAAAAACACGUACCUGUUAUAUUUAUUGACGAUGGCUAUUGCCUAU